AGGGGGGGGGUGCUAAUACAUGCAAGUCGAACGAGUUCUCGUUGAUGAUCGGUGCUUGCACCGAGAUUCAACAUGGAACGAGUGGCGGACGGGUGAGUAACACGUGGGUAACCUGCCCUUAAGUGGGGGAUAACAUUUGGAAACAGAUGCUAAUACCGCAUAGAUCCAAGAACCGCAUGGUUCUUGGCUGAAAGAUGGCGUAAGCUAUCGCUUUUGGAUGGACCCGCGGCGUAUUAGCUAGUUGGUGAGGUAAUGGCUCACCAAGGCGAUGAUACGUAGCCGAACUGAGAGGUUGAUCGGCCACAUUGGGACUGAGACACGGCCCAAACUCCUACGGGAGGCAGCAGUAGGGAAUCUUCCACAAUGGACGCAAGUCUGAUGGAGCAACGCCGCGUGAGUGAAGAAGGCUUUCGGGUCGUAAAACUCUGUUGUUGGAGAAGAAUGGUCGGCAGAGUAACUGUUGUCGGCGUGACGGUAYCCAACCAGAAAGCCACGGCUAACUACGUGCCCAGCAGCCGCGGUAAUACGUAGGUGGCAAGCGUUAUCCCGGAUUUAUUGGGCGUAAAGCGAGCGCAGGCGGUUUUUUAAGUCUGAUGUGAAAGCCCUCGGCUUAACCGAGGAAGCGCAUCGGAAACUGGGAAACUUGAGUGCAGAAGAGGACAGUGGAACUCCAUGUGUAGCGGUGAAAUGCGUAGAUAUAUGGAAGAACACCAGUGGCGAAGGCGGCUGUCUGGUCUGUAACUGACGCUGAGGCUCGAAAGCAUGGGUAGCGAACAGGAUUAGAUACCCUGGUAGUCCAUGCCGUAAACGAUGAAUGCUAGGUGUUGGAGGGUUUCCGCCCUUCAGUGCCGCAGCUAACGCAUUAAGCAUUCCGCCUGGGGAGUACGACCGCAAGGUUGAAACUCAAAGGAAUUGACGGGGGCCCGCACAAGCGGUGGAGCAUGUGGUUUAAUUCGAAGCAACGCGAAGAACCUUACCAGGUCUUGACAUCUUUUGAUCACCUGAGAGAUCAGGUUUCCCCUUCGGGGGCAAAAUGACAGGUGGUGCAUGGUUGUCGUCAGCUCGUGUCGUGAGAUGUUGGGUUAAGUCCCGCAACGAGCGCAACCCUUAUGACUAGUUGCCAGCAUUUAGUUGGGCACUCUAGUAAGACUGCCGGUGACAAACCGGAGGAAGGUGGGGAUGACGUCAAAUCAUCAUGCCCCUUAUGACCUGGGCUACACACGUGCUACAAUGGAUGGUACAACGAGUUGCGAGACCGCGAGGUCAAGCUAAUCUCUUAAAGCCAUUCUCAGUUCGGACUGUAGGCUGCAACUCGCCUACACGAAGUCGGAAUCGCUAGUAAUCGCGGAUCAGCACGCCGCGGUGAAUACGUUCCCGGGCCUUGUACACACCGCCCGUCACACCAUGAGAGUUUGUAACACCCGAAGCCGGUGGCGUAACCCUAUAGGGAGCGAGCCGUUCUAAAGGUGGACCAAAAA
rnacentral:rRNA from 2 species